GCCUACCAUGGUUUUGACGGGUAACGGGGAAUUAGGGUUCGAUUCCGGAGAGGGAGCCUGAGAAACGGCUACCACAUCCAAGGAAGGCAGCAGGCGCGCAAAUUACCCAAUCCCGACACGGGGAGGUAGUGACAAUAAAUAACAAGCCAGGGCCCUUCUGGGUUUUGGCAUUGGAAUGGGUACAAUGUAAACACCUUAACGAGGAACAAUUGGAGGACAAGUCUGGUGCCAGCACCCGCGGUAAUUCCAGCUCCAAUAGCGUAUAUUAAAGUUGUUGCAGUUAAAAAGCUCGUAGUUGAAUUUCGGGAUUAGUACGUUGGUCGUGCCUUAGGUACGUACUGGUGUUACUGGUUCCUACCUUCCGACGAACCAUCAUGUCAUUAAUUUGGUGUGGCGGGGAAUCAGGACUGUUACUUUGAAAAAAUUAGAGUGUUUAAAGCAGGCUCGCGCUUGAAUACAUUAGCAUGGAAUAAUGAAAUAGGACGUUUGAACCUAUUUUGUUGGUUUCUAGGAUCGACGUAAUGAUUAAUAGGGAUAGUUGGGGGCAUUAGUAUUCAAUUGUCAGAGGUGAAAUUCUUGGAUUUAUUGAAGACUAACUACUGCGAAAGCAUUUGCCAAGGAUGUUUUCAUUAAUCAAGAACGAAAGUUAGGGGAUCGAAGACGAUCAGAUACCGUCGUA
rnacentral:rRNA from 1 species